rnacentral:rRNA from 1 species
GAGUUUGAUCCUGGCUCAGGAUGAACGCUGGCGGCGUGCCUAAUACAUGCAAGUCGGACGUGAGCCUUUGGGCAACUGAGGGUGAAAGUGGCGAACGGGUGAGUAACACAUGGCUGACCUGCCCUUCAGCGGGGGACAACGGCUGGAAACGGCCGCUAAUACCGCGUACGCUGGUCGAGGUUAGAGGCUCGGUCAGGGAAGCCCGAGAGGGUGCUGAAGGAGGGGGCUGUGGCCCAUCAGCUAGUUGGCAGGGUAACGGCCUACCAAGGCGAGGACGGGUAGGGGGCCUGAGAGGGUGGUCCCCCACACUGGAACUGAGAGACGGUCCAGACUCCUACGGGAGGCAGCAGUAAGGGAUAUUGCGCGAAUGGGCGAAAGCCUGACGCAGCAACGCCGCGUGCGGGAGGACAGCCUUCGGGUUGUAAACCGCUUUUCUGGGUGAAGAGGCAGGACGGUAGCCCAGGAAGAAGUCUCGGCUAACUACGUGCCAGCAGCCGCGGUAAAACGUAGGAGGCGAGCGUUAUCCGGAUUUACUGGGUGUAAAGCGCGUGCAGGCGGUGGAGUAAGUUAUGCGUGAAAGCGCCUGGCUCAACCGGGCGAGGACGUGUGAAACUACUCGACUAGAGGCAGGGAGAGGCGUGUGGAAUUCCGGGUGUAGUGGUGAAAUGCGUAGAGAUCCGGAGGAACACCAGUGGCGAAGGCGACACGCUGGGCCUGGCCUGACGCUCAGACGCGACAGCAUGGGGAGCGAACGGGAUUAGAAACCCCGGUAGUCCAUGCCGUAAACGAUGUCGACUAGGUGUGGGGGUCGAGAGGCCUCUGUGCCGCAGCUAACGUGAUAAGUCGACCACCUGGGGACUACGGCCGCAAGGUUAAAACUCAAAGGAAUUGACGGGGGCCCGCACAAGCAGCGGAGCGUGUGGUUUAAUUUCGAGGCUACACGAAGAAUCUUUACCUGGGCUUGACAUGGCGGUGGUAGGGAAGCGAAAGCGG